rnacentral:rRNA from 1 species
GUAAUUUGUAGAGGAUGCUUCGGACAAGGCCGCGGUCUAAUUUGCUUGGAACAGCGAGUCACAGAGGGUGAGAGUCCCGUCUAGGAUCGUGCGCCGCGUUCGUGUGAAGCUCCUUCGACGAGUCGAGUUGUUUGGGAAUGCAGCUCUAAAUGGGUGGUAAAUUUCAUCUAAAGCUAAAUAUGGGCCAGAGACCGAUAGCGCACAAGUAGAGUGAUCGAAAGAUGAAAAGCACUUUGAAAAGAGAGUUAAACAGUAUGUGAAAUUGUUGAAAGGGAAGCGCUUGCAACCAGACUUGCGUGUGACGGUUCCCCCCACCUUCUGGUGGGGCUACUCCGUUAUCUCCAGGCCAGCAUCGGUUCAGGUGGUCGGUUAAAGACCUCGGGAAUGUAUCUACCUCCGGGUCGACUUAUAGCCCAGGGUGCAAUGCGACCCACCUGGACCGAGGAACGCGCUUCGGCCCGGAUGCUGGCGUAAUGGUUGCAAGCGGCCCGUCUUGAAACACGGACCAAGGAGUCUAACAUCUAUGCGAGUGUUUGGGUGUCAAACCCCUACGCGUAAUGAAAGUGAACGGAGGUAAGAACCCCGCAAGGGGCGCAUUAUCGACCGAUCCUGAUGUCUUC